rnacentral:rRNA from 1 species
CGAGGGAUCCAAGCGUUGUCCGGAUUUACUGGGUUUAAAGGGUGCGUAGGCGGACUAUUAAGUCAGUGGUGAAAGCUUGCAGCUUAACUGUAAAAUUGCCAUUGAAACUGAUAGUCUCGAAUAUGGUUGAGGUGGUUGGAAUGUUGCAUGUAGCGGUGAAAUGCUUAGAUAUGCAACAGAACACCGAUUGCGAAGGCAGAUCACUAAACCAUUAUUGACGCUGAGGCACGAAAGCGUGGGGAUCAAACAGGAUUAGAUACCCUGGUAGUCCACGCCCUAAACGUUGCAUACUCGGUUUUAGCGAUAAACAGUUAGAACCCAAGCGAAAGCGUUAAGUAUGCCACCUGGGAAGUACGUCCGCAAGGAUG